rnacentral:rRNA from 1 species
CGGCAACAUCACGUUGAAACACCGGUUCUGGUACAAUCACCGAAGUUAAGCAACGUCGAGCUUGGUAAGCACCUAAAUGGGUGACCGCUUGAGAAUACCAGGUGUU